GACGUUUAGCAGAACAAAUGAAACGGGUUAUUGGGCCAGUGACGGUUGCGAGUUGCUAAAUUCUGAUGAAAACAAAACUGUUUGUCAGUGCGAUCAUCUCACCAAUUUUGCAGUCCUUAUGAGUCCAUUCGUUGAGGCCGACGUCAAUUC